AAACCAGGGAGCGCAACCAGACCACCACCACCUCGAGCUUCCCCUCCCCCCUCGUCUGCUACAACCGCUUCGUUUCCUCCUCCACUUUCCCCCCAAAUUGAGCUCCGAUUCGGCUUCUCCAUCCCGAAUCGCGCACUAGUUCCACCCGAAAAUCGCCGCCGGACUGGACCCGCGGAUGGAGUGACCAGUUAGGGUUCCGAAGCCGGCAAUGGAGGCGCAGUGGCUCGCCGAGUACCCGCACCAGGGCGCCGACAAGCGGCCGCAUAAGCGGCCCCGGCUCGCUUGGGAUGUCACGCCCACGGUAUUCCAGCCCCCCAAGGCAAUUCCGAUGCUAUAUUGUGGGCAGGAACUAAUCAAUGGUAAUUUUGCGACUGCUUUUGUGCCGCCGCCACCAAUUUAUUACACCGGACUUCCACGGAAUCUUUCACCUCUUUGGAGGCCAGAUGACAAGGAUGGGCACUAUGUUUUCGCAGUUGGGGAGAAUCUCACACCAAGAUAUAGGAUACUUAGCAAGAUGGGUGAAGGGACAUUUGGACAAGUUUUGGAGUGCUGGGACUUGGAAAGCCAAGAAGCAGUGGCUAUCAAGAUUGUGCGCUCCCUCCAGAAAUACCGAGAGGCUGCUAUGAUAGAAAUUGACGUGCUUCAGAGACUUGGAAAGCAUGAUUUUACUGGCAGCCGUUGUGUGCAAAUACGGAAUUGGUUUGACUAUCGUAAUCAUAUAUGUAUAGUAUUUGAAAAGCUUGGGCCAAGCUUAUAUGACUUUCUGCGAAAGAAUAGCUACCGUUCAUUUCCGAUUGACCUUGUUCGUGAAUUUGCCAGACAAAUAUUAGAGUCUGUUGCAUUUAUGCAUGACUUGCGACUUAUUCACACGGACCUGAAACCAGAGAACAUUCUUCUUGUUUCAGCGGAGUCUAUUAGGGUGCCUGAUUAUAAGGUUUUUAUACGACCACCCAAGGAUGGUUCUUUCUUCAAGAAUCUUCCAAAAUCUAGUGCAAUCAAGCUGAUUGAUUUUGGGAGUACGGCAUUUGAGCACCAAGACCACAAUUAUGUGGUGUCGACAAGACAUUACCGUGCACCCGAAGUUAUCCUUGGUCUUGGGUGGAACUAUCCAUGCGACUUGUGGAGCGUGGGUUGUAUUUUAGUUGAGCUCUGUUCGGGCGAAGCUCUCUUUCAAACUCAUGAAAAUUUGGAGCAUUUGGCUAUGAUGGAGAGGGUCUUAGGACCCUUGCCAAAGCAUAUGAUUGUCAGAGCUGAUCGACGUGCUGAAAAGUACUUCAAGCGCGGAGUAAGGUUGGACUGGCCAGAGGGGGCGGCCUCACGAGAGAGCAUGAAGGCAGUCUGGAAAUUGCCUCGUCUGCAGAAUCUUGUGAUGCAACAUGUUGAUCAUUCUGCUGGAGAUCUAAUAGAUCUUCUUCAAGGACUUCUUCGGUAUGAUCCUAAUGAGCGCCUUAAAGCCCGUGAAGCUCUACGACACCCUUUCUUUACCAGAUGCAUCAGAAGAUGUGGUUUCUGAGGCUAUACUGAGAUUGAAAAUCCCAAUGCUGCAUUUCUUCAUUUUGAUGUGUAAGAACUACAAAAAAAAGUGGAGAUGUUCAACGAAAAAUAUGCUAACUUGCAUUCUGUUCAAUGAUGUGAAAGGUAGCAUGCAGAAAUCUCUAACUAGGUGGAGUCAAUUGAGGAUAAAUGGGAUUCCAGUGGCUUGCAUGGAAGACUGGUACACUGUAUUUAAUGGUGGUAUUCGGUGAGCAUACUUGUCAACAGGUAAUCAUUUUUGCGUGCAUUUAGAUGUUGAGUAUUUCUUGACUCUUGUGCAAGGUGGCAAGCCAUGGAUAUUUUGGUUUGUUUGUGUUUCUUUUUUGUCUUCAAAUACGCAAAUUAGUCCAGACACAAAACAAGUGCACCCAACUUGUUUGGACUCUGCUUGAGAUUGGCUGUUGUAUCAUGGUCAGGCUUGGUUUGCACUGAGCUUGAGUGUGACGCUUGAAAAAAGCUGUCAAAUUGUCGGCAUAAGACUAGAUCUCGAUGCUGGAGGUCAAUCUAGAUAACUUUUAGGCUCUAACCUGGUUCGAGAAUACUUAUUAGCAGCUGAUACUUUCAACUUUCCCGGAGCAGUUUGGGAUGUGGGGGUAUUUGUAUUUCUUUACGCCGUAUCCUGUGUGAUUUCAGUCAGUUCAUUUACAUGUUAUUGAGAGUCCACGAACAGCUUGAGCAUGAAAUCAACUGUUUACAUGUGAUAUUGGUCAUAUGACAUAUUUAUGCUUUUUUUUUCUUUCCAAAAUCUCAUUUUAACAUAAUAUUAUAUACUGAUUGCUUCUAACAAACAGUUCAGUUCCUUUUAUGGAUAGCAUCUUACACUCCCACCAAGGUUUUCUAUGAACUUUGGUAGUAUUAAAUGUAUUGAAAUGAAACUUUGAUAUUCCCUGGGUAUUUAUUUAGACUUUUUAUUUUAUUUUAUUGUACUGGAGCAAUAUUACGGCAAUUUCCAUUGUUCUCUUGCUAACACUUGAUGAAUUGAAAAGCUUUCAUGUAGCUUGGCAUUUAAAGUUUUUUUUUAAAAAAAACCUUCACAUUGUUCAGCAAGAGUAUGUUUUGCGUUGAAUAGGCCGGCACAAACACCGGGUAUAUAUAACCACGGCCAUAGGAAAUCAGGAAUCGUGCUAUUUAGUAGGAAUAUUUUAUAAUUGGCAAUUUUCUUGUCUUUCCCCCCAGUGGCGUGUGACUCUACGCUGAUGAAACUGUUACGUGUUAACAUCAGAGACAGGCGUCUCUUCUGUACUGCAAUGAUGACUCAGGCAGUCAGGCUGACUUCUGGGGGUUAAAGCUUAGACCAUUAGACCACGUGAUUUCAGGUAAUCAUUUGCCCUGAGCUUGGUUCGUCGCCCCGAGCUUGGUUCGAGAGCACAGCUACAGCAUUGCCAAGUUUGCACCAGGACUGCCGGGUGUGGAUGCGUAUCUUCGCAGGACAGGUGCCUGUGGAUGUGCUACUAUGUAUGUUCUGCUUGUGUGACGUGUGGUAUCUGGUUUAAUCACGUUAUGAUUACACAA